rnacentral:rRNA from 1 species
UACCAGCACCCCGAGUGGUCGGGACGAUUAUUGGGCCUAAAGCAUCCGUAGCCGGUCCUGCAAGUCUUCCGUUAAAUCCAGCUGCUCAACAGAUGGGCUGCGGGAGAUACUACAGGGCUAGGAGGCGGGAGAGGCAAGCGGUACCUUAUAGGUAGGGGUAAAAUCCGCUGAUCCAUAGAAGACCACCAGUGGCGAAGGCGGCUUGCCAGAACGCGCUCGACGGUGAGGGAUGAAAGCUGGGGGAGCAAACCGG